GGGCAGUCGUGCAUUUUUAUUUAGGGUUAAUUGGAUCUAUGCGACUCUCUAUUUCACCGGUUGGAAAUAUGUCAUUACAAAAACUUACAUGGAGAAAUGCCACUCUAACUUUCUUAUACCUCUAUCAAUGCCAUUAUUUAAAAUAAUACUCCUAGUUACAACGUUCAGCAGUACGUUCGAAUCAUCCGGGCGCCAUAAAAGUUUAAAAAAUUCAAAUUUAGCCCAAAAUUCAAUCUUCUCAGAAAAAUCUAUAAAAAUUACAGAAAAUAAAAAAUAGUAAUAUGAGUUCACCGUUGGGGACGGGACAUGAGGAGAGCGUGGGGAAUAAGAGGAAUAGAACUCUUUGACUUG
rnacentral:lncRNA from 1 species